GUGGAUACAGCUCAGUAGUAGAGCCCGUGCUUAGCACACAUGAAGUCCUGGGUUCAAUCCCCAGUACCUCCA
rnacentral:tRNA from 1 species